rnacentral:tRNA from 1 species
GCCCGGAUGGCGGAACAGGUAGACGCAGCGGACUUAAAAUCCGCCAGCCAUUGCGGCUGUGCCGGUUCGACCCCGGCUCCGGGCACCA